UGAACAGGGAGCAAAAUGGAGACAUGCUCUUUUCCUGUGUAAUGCACUGUGAACUGGCACCUUAUUAUCUCACCGUACACCAGGGACAACACAUUCAUUGAAACAAAGCUGAUGUGGUGCUGUUCUCAGCAAACAUGGUGCCUUACCAUGAGCAUUGUGUUAGACCAAAAUGAGGCAGGAGUUGAGUGAAUAGCCAUGAAAUACAUGUAGAACUAGAUUCACAGCCGAGGGUUCUAUUUGCCAUAGUAGGGAUCAAUACUCUGUCUUCCUUAACCUCAUUUGGAAAAGAUCAUUUUAA